UACGUAGGGGGCGAGCGUUGUCCGAAGUUACUGGGCGUAAAGCGCGCGUAGGCGGUCAAUUAAGUCUGAGGUGAAAGGUUCAGCGCUCAACGUGAACAGUGCCUUGGAUACUGGUUGACUUGAGUGUGGCAGAGGAGUAUGGAAUUCCUGGUGUAGCGGUGAAAUGCGUAGAGAUCAGGAGGAAUACCAAUGGCGAAGGCAGUACUCUGGGCUAACACUGACGCUGAGGUGCGAAAGCGUGGGGAGCGAACGGG
rnacentral:rRNA from 1 species